GACGGAGGGGGCAAGCGUUGUCCGGAAUCACUGGGCGUAAAGCGCACGUAGGCGGGACGGUGCGUCGGUGCUGAAAGCGCCAGGCUUAACCUGGCGAGGCGUGCCGAUACGACCGACCUCGAGGCAGACAGAGGGUGGCGGAAUUCCGGGUGUAGUGGUGAAAUGCGUAGAGAUCCGGAGGAACGCCGGUGGCGAUAGCGGCCACCUGGGUCUGACCUGACGCUGAGGUGCGAAAGCGUGGGGAGCAAACCGG
rnacentral:rRNA from 1 species